GCUAGCUACAGGCUUAACACAUGCGAGUCGAGGGGCAGCGGGAUUGAAGCUUGCUUCAAUUGCCGGCGACCGGCGCACGGGUGAGUAACGCGUAUCCAACCUUCCGUACACUCAGGGAUAGCCUUUCGAAAGAAAGAUUAAUACCUGAUAGUAUCUUAAGCACACAUGUAAUUAAGAUUAAAGAUUUAUCGGUGUACGAUGGGGAUGCGUUCCAUUAGGUAGUAGGCGGGGUAACGGCCCACCUAGCCAACGAUGGAUAGGGGUUCUGAGAGGAAGGUCCCCCACAUUGGAACUGAGACACGGUCCAAACUCCUACGGGAGGCAGCAGUGAGGAAUAUUGGUCAAUGGACGAGAGUCUGAACCAGCCAAGUAGCGUGAAGGAUGAAGGUCCUACGGAUUGUAAACUUCUUUUAUAAGGGAAUAAACCCUCCCACGUGUGGGAGCUUGUAUGUACCUUAUGAAUAAGCAUCGGCUAACUCCGUGCCAGCAGCCGCGGUAAUACGGAGGAUGCGAGCGUUAUCCGGAUUUAUUGGGUUUAAAGGGAGCGCAGACGGGUCGUUAAGUCAGCUGUGAAAGUUUGGGGCUCAACCUUAAAAUUGCAGUUGAUACUGGCGUCCUUGAGUGCGGUUGAGGUGUGCGGAAUUCGUGGUGUAGCGGUGAAAUGCUUAGAUAUCACGAAGAACUCCGAUUGCGAAGGCAGCACACUAAUCCGUAACUGACGUUCAUGCUCGAAAGUGUGGGUAUCAAACAGGAUUAGAUACCCUGGUAGUCCACACGGUAAACGAUGGAUACUCGCUGUUGGCGAUAUACUGUCAGCGGCUUAGCGAAAGCGUUAAGUAUCCCACCUGGGGAG
rnacentral:rRNA from 1 species